UACGUAGGGUGCAAGCGUUAAUCGGAAUUACUGGGCGUAAAGCGUGCGCAGGCGGUUUUGUAAGUUUGUCGUGAAAGCCCCGGGCUCAACCUGGGAACCGCGCUUGAGACUGGCAUGCUCGAGUUCGGGAGAGGAUGGUGGAAUUCCCAGUGUAGAGGUGAAAUUCGUAGAUAUUGGGAAGAACACCGAUGGCGAAGGCAGCCAUCUGGACCGACACUGACGCUGAGGCGCGAAAGCGUGGGGAGCAACAGG
rnacentral:rRNA from 1 species